GUACCGUGAGGGAAAGGUGAAAAGCACCCCGGAAGGGGAGUGAAAUAGAUCCUGAAACCGUGUGCCUACAAGUAGUUAGAGCCCGUUAAUGGGUGAUAGCGUGCCUUUUGUAGAAUGAACCGGCGAGUUACGAUUGCAUGCAAGGUUAAGGUGAGAAGCCGGAGCCGCAGCGAAAGCGAGUCUGAAUAGGGCGAGUGAGUAUGUAGUUGUAGACCCGAAACCAGGUGAUCUACCCAUGUCCAGGGUGAAGGUAAGGUAACACUUACUGGAGGCCCGAACCCACGCACGUUGAAAAGUGCGGGGAUGAGGUGUGGGUAGCGGAGAAAUUCCAAUCGAACCUGGAGAUAGCUGGUUCUCUCCGAAAUAGCUUUAGGGCUAGCCUCAAGAUAGAGAAUCCUGGAGGUAGAGCACUGUUUGGACUAGGGGCCCAUCCCGGGUUACCGAAUUCAGACAAACUCCGAAUGCCAGUGAUUUAUGCUUGGGAGUCAGACUGCGAGUGAUAAGAUCCGUAGACAAGAGGGAAACAGCCCAGACCACCAGCUAAGGUCCCCAAAUAUCCGUUAAGUGGAAAAGGAUGUGGCGUUGCUUAGACAACCAGGAUGUUGGCUUAGAAGCAGCCAUCAUUUAAAGAGUGCGUAAUAGCUCACUGGUCGAGUGACACUGCGCCGAAAAUGUACCGGGGCUAAACGGAUUACCGAAGCUGUGGAUGGACAUCGUAGAUGUCCGUGGUAGGAGAGCGUUCUAAGGGCGUUGAAGUCAGACCGGAAGGACUGGUGGAGCGCUUAGAAGUGAGAAUGCCGGUAUGAGUAACGAAAGACGGGUGAGAAUCCCGUCCACCGAAUGCCUAAGGUUUCCUGAGGAAGGCUCGUCCGCUCAGGGUUAGUCGGGACCUAAGUCGAGGCCGAUAGGCGUAGACGAUGGACAACAGGUUGAUAUUCCUGUACCACCUCCCCGCCGUUUGAGCAAUGGGGGGACGCAGAAGGAUAGGGUGAGCGUGCCGUUGGUUGUGCACGUCCAAGUUGUGAGAUGAGAAACGAGGCAAAUCCCGUUUCUAGAUACAUCAAGCAGUGAUGGCAAGAGGUUUACCUCAGAGUCCCUGAUUUCACACUGCCAAGAAAAGCCUCUAGCGAGGCGGGAGGUGCCCGUACCGCAAACCGACACAGGUAGGCGAGAAGAGAAUUCUAAGGUGAGCGAGUGAACUCUCGUUAAGGAACUCGGCAAAAUGACCCCGUAACUUCGGGAGAAGGGGUGCUCUGGUAGGGUGAAUAGCCCGAGAGAGCCGCAGUGAAUAGGCCCAGGCGACUGUUUAGCAAAAACACA
rnacentral:rRNA from 1 species